CGUACAAAAUGUGUGAGGCAUGCGAGGGCUGUCGCUGGCUUUUAACACAAAAGUCGUGCACGCCAGAGUGUGUCCUCUCACAUAAAAUCCAUCUCACCCUUUUGUGCACCACCGCGUGGGCACCCUUCGGGAUCAAACAGAUCCAGGAGGGGGGCUUGCGUUUUCACACAAACCCCUUUUUAAAAGUGUAGAAUGACCCCAUUUUUGCGAUAACACGCAAUCAAUA
rnacentral:misc_RNA from 1 species